CCUGCCACCCAUAAGAGGUCCAGCCUGCCCAGUGACUCUGUUCAACGGCCGCGGUAUCCUAACCGUGCGAAGGUAGCGUAAUCACUUGUUCUUUAAAUGAGGACUAGUAUGAACGGCACUACGAGGGUUACACUGUCUCCUUUUCCAAAUCAGUGAAACUAAUCUCCCCGUGAAGAAGCGGGAAUAAACCUAUAAGACGAGAAGACCCUAUGGAGCUUCAAACUUCCCAGCAAUUAUUUUUUACUAAUUCAAUCUCAAGAUAAUAAAAUGAACCCUUAUAAUAUGACUGCAAGUUUUCGGUUGGGGUGACCACGGAGUAAAAUCCACCCUCCACAAUGAAUUAUAAACCUUAGCUUUAAACAAAGAAACACAAUUCUAUGUAUCAAAAAAUUGACAUUAUUGACCCAAUAUUUUGACCAAUGAAC
rnacentral:rRNA from 1 species